rnacentral:tRNA from 1 species
ACCGGGAUGGUGUAACGGUAGCACUAGGGACUCUGAAUCCCUCUGUCUAGGUUCGAAUCCUAGUCCCGGUGCCA